GAUGGUACUUGUGGUGUAGUAGGUAGGAGUUGGUGACAAAGUGCUGUUGGUGAUAUUAGUCGCAGGUGGUAGGGAUCAGACGCGUUUCGGUCCGCCUAGGACCUUCCUCAGUGAUCUAACCCCGCUGUCACCACCAUCACGGCCAGGAGACGUAAGGACUGCCACAUCCAAGGGGAUGACUCCGGAUAUUACCAACAGUAACGGAUCCCCAAGCUAAGUGGGGUACUCCGAUGGCCAAUGGGUUUUUUCAGUUUCUUCUUACCCUUGCAGGUGAAGAUACAGUCUGCUGCCACUCUUCAAAAGAUUUGGAAAUCAAACACAUUUUGGAUUGGUAGAAGUAAGAACCAUCCAAUGUCCAGCAGUGUAUAUUCUUUAUAUAGCAAUUAUCUGGUCCUGGUAGGGAUGUGAAUAAGCCUUCCAAUCAUGAAUGCCCUGCUGCUCAGGGGGUGGUUGUGUUAAGGUAAAGUGCGCCUAAGAAAUGUUCAUAAUGCAGCUACAAAUCCGGCUCUGCUACAUGUGCAGUUGACAUUAGUAAAGCCAUAACCAGACUAGUGUCUUAAUGGGUCCACCGGUCUGCAAAUAAAUCUGAGUACAAAUACACCUGUUUUGUGAAUACCUCAGAGUUUGUUAUAGAACAUUACUAAACAAACAGCAGCAUGAAGACCAAGGAGCUCACCAAAUCAGGUUUGGUCAGAACCAGAACUUUCUGCCCAAGUUCAGCGAACCGGCAGAAGCAAACAUUUGAAAAUUUCCCUCAUCUCUAGUAGAGGCUCAUAGCAGGCAUUGUAAUGGACUGAGGCAAAUUUCAGAGGGUAGAAUGAAGGACAGAAUUUGGGGUCAUCAGUGGCUGGCCACCUCAUACCAUAAUUUAGGAAAUGUAUGACCGAUUGCCGGUAUCCACAAGCUUCAGGACAGGACAAGGGUUAAAGAAAGAAGAUGAGGAAAACUGUUUCUAUCUCUUGGUACAUGGUAAUAACCGUCGUCUGCCGGGCUGCAUGCAUUCUAUUUUUCCUUAGCUGAGUACUUUCUGUAAAGUUUAAACCAACGGAUUUUCUGAUUUCUAGAGUGUAUCUAAGCUUGUUUCAU